rnacentral:misc_RNA from 1 species
CAAUCUGUUGAUAUAAUCCUCGGGAUCCCCGCUCAGAUCUGUAGUUCUGAGCCCACCAUUCUCAAGCGUGCCGUUACCUUUCCUGGAGCAAUAUAUCUGCCACUUUUUGUUCGCCGGAAGUGCCAGAACCGCCUGUCGGUUGGCCUGGGUCAGGUCCAGCUCGUCGACCAAUUCGAGGAACAUCUUGUUCAGUUCUUCCUCGGCAGGCAUCGGCAGGGUGGGCGUCAUUGCUUGAAGCGUGAGCGUACCCGUGUGCUCCACAACGCAAUACGUGAUUUCCGGUGGCUCGUCAUCCUGUAUGCAACCGCAGAAAGACUUUUUCACCCGUGAUGGCAUCGUCUGGCAGCGACCCACGAAUUCCUUCAAGGGCUGUGGACUCUUCACUGGGC